rnacentral:rRNA from 1 species
UACGAAGGGUGCAAGCGUUACUCGGAAUUACUGGGCGUAAAGCGUGCGUAGGCGGUUUGUUAAGUCCGUUGUGAAAGCCCUGGGCUCAACCUGGGAAUUGCAGUGGAUACUGGCGAGCUAGAGUGCGGUAGAGGAUGGUGGAAUUCCCGGUGUAGCGGUGAAAUGCGUAGAGAUCGGGAGGAACACCCGUGGCGAAGGCGGCCAUCUGGACCAGCACUGACGCUGAGGCACGAAAGCGUGGGGAUCAAACAGG